GUCAAGAACUCACCGUCAACCCUAACGGGUAUGACGGGAGCUUGAAAAAGCUCGCUCCUUGACCAGACUCAGUUCGCAAUAACUACGUUAUUCAGUUCAUGAAACCUACAGAUACGUGCCAGUUUGUAGCUCUUUC
rnacentral:sRNA from 21 species